rnacentral:rRNA from 1 species
UACGGGGGGAGCAAGCGUUGUUCGGAUUUACUGGGCGUAAAGGGCGCGUAGGCGGCGCAACAAGUCACUUGUGAAAUCUCCGGGCUUAACUCGGAACGGUCAAGUGAUACUGUUGUGCUAGAGUGCGGAAGGGGCAACUGGAAUUCUCGGUGUAGCGGUGAAAUGCGUAGAUAUCGAGAGGAACACCUGCGGCGAAGGCGGUUCUCUGGGACGGUACUGACGCUGAGACGCGAAAGCGUGGGGAGCGAACAGG